rnacentral:rRNA from 1 species
GCCUACGGGGGGCAGCAGUGAGGAAUAUUGGUCAAUGGGCGGGAGCCUGAACCAGCCAAGCCGCGUGAGGGAAGAAGGUACAGCGUAUCGUAAGCCUCUUUUGUCAGGGAACAAAGGCGGGGACUAGUCCCCGGAUGAGGGUACCUGAAGAAAAAGCAUCGGCUAACUCCGUGCCAGCAGCCGCGGUAAUACGGAGGAUGCGAGCGUUAUCCGGAUUUAUUGGGUUUAAAGGGUGCGCAGGCGGCCUGUUAAGUCAGCGGUCAAAGCCCGGGGCUCAACCCCGGCCCGCCGUUGAAACUGGCAGU